AGCCGGGAGCGCCGGCAGCCCGGCCUCUCGCUCUCUGCCGGGGCGGGCUGCGGCUCCGCCUUGCGCGCUUCCCGGGAGCAGCUUCCCAGGGCACACUGAGGUCUGGCUCUUCCCUUUCUGUGGUUUCCUUCUCUCCCCGCCUUUCCCACCGGUAUUAAACCCUGGAGGCUGGAUCCCGCGGGGCCAGAGUCCGGCCGCCAGGGCCCCGAGGGCUGCGCUGGAGGCGCCGGGCACAGCGGGGCGGCGAAUGUUCUUUGCUGCCAACAUGUAAAUAGCCUGAGACCACCUUUGAGAGAGGUUAAUGACUGGAGCAAUGAGAGGCCUUCAGUUCAUUGGAAACUGUAUUUGUAUACAGGUCUGGAGUAUGGGAAGUCCACUAUCAAGACUGAUCAAGACACCAGGAGAAGAUUCGGUGUCUGGCAGAGGAAGUGAAGAGGAGUGACUGGGACAGAAUCCGGCGCCCCAACCGGGACUAGAACUCGGGGUGCUGGUGCUGCAGGCAGAGGAUUAGCCAAGUGAGCCACGGAGCCAGCCUUUACAGCAUCUCUUAAAAGACUUUAAGCUCUCUGUCUCCAGGAACUGACUGUGAAGACUGUCUGUAGAAGGGAAGGACUAAGAGUGGCCAGGUGGAUUUGUGCCCAGAGACAUCACAUUUCUUACUAAAUCCAGAGAAUCCUGGAGCCAUAAGACCUGACAUGCUAAGAAGCAGCUGUCAAGACACUGCCUGAUGCAGCAGAUGGAGGUGAGUUUGUGGCUGCAAGCCAUUAGGCUUCCUGAAGUCCCUGGAUGUCUUCCUUAUGGAAUAGCUUCAAAGCCAAUGCUGAAGCCACAUGACUCAACCUGAGAAGUCACUCAAUUCUGCCUGCUGAUAGAGUCUCCAGGGGGACAGCUUCACGAGCAAGCUGAGCAAUGCUGUGUUUCAGAGUGCUGGAGAUCACUGAUGUGUUCAAGUCUUUCAGCCUAAUUCUGCCCAGAGAUGUUGGUUGCUUGAGAACUGCACCCUGUCACUGGAGAUGCUACAUUACCUUCAGUUGGGAUUAGAAUAUCAAACAAAAACAUGAGCUCCACAGUAAAGAAGCUCAGAGGGUGACCUGUCUUUAAAGUGGAACUGGCCAGUGAGAGCUAAGCAUUGGUUCAUCCCAUUAGGAACUGCAAUUUAAUUUACCAUGCUCAGAACAAAAAGACAACUCGAGGGGCUUUUGCGGAAGGCGACCUAACUGCACGGCCCCUGAGUGCUUUCAGGCCACAGUGUGUCUGCUUGGGCGAGCGCCACAAAUCCAUCAGGCUCGUCUCCUUCCCUUUCUCCUUUACAAAGAACUAAUCUAAUAACUGACCUGCCAUUAGGCCUAUGCACCAUUAAUCAAAUGUGAGGAGUUAGCCAAUUGGCCUGGAUUAAUAUAGUUAAUCUUCAAAUCAUACAUAUUCAAAAGGCUCUAAAAAGCAUCUGGGUACCUUUUGAAAAAUUGUUGGUGAGAUGAUCAAAUUGUUACCAGCAUAAUAAAUUAGACCUACGGCUGCUGACUUUGAGGGGGCAUGAUCCUCCUUCAAAGCAAAGUUUGUAAAUGACAGUAAAUCCCAUCAGAUCUAAGGGGAAAAAAAAAAUCCUACUUUCUUUGGUGGAAUUAAAUGUCAAAAAUGAAUAUUUACUGGAGAUUAGAAUCCCCUGCUGGGGUUCCCAGGCUCCGAGUGAAACCAUCUGCAAUGGUAACUGGCAAACCUGCCCAGACCUUUCCUGCAGCACCACUGCGGCAGAUGAAGGAGCCCCAGGCAGCCAUAUCCCAGUGCUCAGUUUUCCAAGAAACUCGGGGGUGGGCACUGCGUUGUUUAGGCUGCUGCAUGGAUACCUAUCAAGUUACCCAGAUCUGCUUGGCUUCGUGCUGUUUAGACCCAGGCUUACUGUUAUCAAAGUCUCUUUCAUCAACUCUGCUUUUUAAGUCCUGGAAAUAAAGGAGGGCUUACUGAUGAUCAAACUUAAGCUUGUAGGAACCCAAAGCAAAAGGCCAGACGGAGGCCUAGAAUGCCAAUCCUGUGUCUUAUGAACAUAUAGCCUUUUAUCUGGCCACUUUGAAGCCAAGGACACAGAGAAGCGUGUCCCUGAACUCUCACCCUUGUUCUCACUACUCAUUAUUUGCUACAACAAGACACUGGGUGGUGUAUGCUAUUAGCUCAGAGCUCCCGUGAGCCACCAUAUUCUCCAAGCCAGAGUCAAGUCCUUUUAACAAAUUGAAAUUUCAAAGUGGCUUCGGCUGUUGGUGAGACCCUGUCUGCAGGAGAUUUGGUACUGAACGUGAGUGGCAGGCAGCAAACACUGCAGCAGGGCUUGUCAGGAAGGAGGAGGGAGAGGCAAGGCGUAACCACGGCUUUUGUUCUGCGUGCGAUUAAGAGGAGCCUGCCUUAGGAGUUAACUCAUCUAUACAUCAAAGUAAUUCAUUUCUAUAUUAAGCAGCACUUUCCCCACGUUGCCAUUUACAGAGGAUUUCAACGCUACGAGGAACUGUUAAAUACAGCACGGUCUCAGUCAUCUUUUAUACACCAUGCCCGAGCACUUUAAGUAUGUCAUGGAUGGAUACUGAAUUACAAAGUCCCAUUUUACCUGGGCCAAUGUGACUUUCAAACGCACGCGGCUUUUUUUUUGGAGUCCCUUAAAGAUCCCUUUAGAGAUUGGAUCUGAACUCCAAGGGCUGGAAGGGGCCUCAGAGAGGUUGUCUACCAACCUGGAUAAAUGUGACGAGGGCACUGAGGCCAAAUUGGAUAAAUGACCGGCAGGGCAGCUCGCCCUGAAUGGCCUCCCGGGUCUCCCCGCAGGACUCUGCGUGCUGUGUGGAGAGUGAAAGCACGUGUCCCUUGAUCUCUCCGGCCUUAAGGCUUGGGCUGCACAUGGAGUACGAUACACGUACAAACACAUGAGAAUAAAAGGAU